rnacentral:rRNA from 1 species
AGUGAACGCUGGCGGCGUGCUUAACACAUGCAAGUCGAACGCGAAAGGGGAGCAAUCCCCGAGUAGAGUGGCGAACGGGUGAGUAAUGUGUGGGUAAUUUGCCUUUCAGCGGGGGAUAACUCGGGGAAACCUGAGCUAAUACCCCAUAAUGUUGCUUGAUCUUCGGGUCGAGUAAUCAAACGAUGGCCUCUGCUUGCAAGCUAUCGCUGAAAGAUGAGCCCACAUCCUAUCACGCUUGUUGGUGGGGUAAUGGCCUACCAAGGCGACGACGGGUAGCCGGCCUGAGAGGGUGUACGGCCACACUGGAACUGAGACACGGUCCAGACUCCUACGGGAGGCAGCAGU